AGCGAACGCUGGCGGCAGGCCUAACACAUGCAAGUCGAACGAACCUUUCGGGGUUAGUGGCGGACGGGUGAGUAACACGUGGGAACGUGCCUUUAGGUUCGGAAUAACUCAGGGAAACUUGUGCUAAUACCGAAUGUGCCCUUCGGGGGAAAGAUUAAUCGCCUUUAGAGCGGCCCGCGUCUGAUUAGCUAGUUGGUUGAGGUAAUGGCUCACCAAGGCGACGAUGAGUAGCUGGUCUGAGGGGAUGAUCAGCCACAUUGGGACUGAGACACGGCCCAAACUCGGACGGGACGGAGCAGAGGAGUAUCUUGCGGAAGGGGGGAUAGCGUGACGCAGCCACGCCGGGUGAAUGAUGAAGGUCUUAGGAUUGUAAAAUUCUUUGAGCGGGGACGAGAAUGACGGUACCGGGAGAAGAAGCACCGGCUAACUUCGUG
rnacentral:rRNA from 1 species